AUAGAAUCACAUCUUAAUAGUGGCUUUAGAGGUCCAUGGGAUCUGCAUAGGGUGACUGCCCUGGAACAAAAGCUAGCUUCAUAGAUUUGCAGGCUGGAGAACUACUAUUUUCAUGUAGCUCUAAUACAAACUCUUAAGAAGUCAGGGUGACUGCAGUCUGCGUUCUUGUGAAGGCUGUGACUAGUACUGGUCAUGAGAGCAUGUCUUACAGGGACACCACAAAGAAAGCAAGAAGAAAAGGCAAGCAAAAUUCAUCAAUAAAGUCCGCAAAGCAUCUCCAGUUCAUGCUUCAAUCAGCUCCCUAGACCUCACCUCAAACUUGACUCUUCAGGUCUUCAAGGUUUCAGCUGGUCCAGACAGAAAGGGAAAAAAUCGUGCUGAAAACAUUGAAAGAGAGAAGUAACGGAGAGAAAUGAAAGGAGAUAAGUAGGCUUGGGAAAAAGAGACAGAACAAGCACAGCUGAAGAGUCAGAAUAGACUACAUAUUUAUUUUCUUUAAAAAGGUAUGUUUCCUGUCCUUCCUGAUUGGAGAAGCAAUGCACCUGUGAGUUGCAGCCAAGCUCAUGAAGUGUUUUCUUACAGGCAUCUAAAGCUCUUCUUGAAAGCACUGGCCACUGCCCAAGACAGGAUGCUAUACUAGAUGGAGUGGCAGCCUAAUACAUUUAAACAAGAUUUAGCAGGUGUGCUGUUAGAGCUCUCAUCCAAUUCACGUUCCUACUCUGACUAAUUCCUACUUCAGGUAUGAAUUUCAUUCUCCUGUUUCAUAUGUGAUUAAAAGCAUGUCUUCUGCUAGGAUAGUUCCAUGUUUCACUUCAAAAAAAGGGAAAGAAAAGAGGUCUAUAGCUCAGUGCCUGUGCAGUUAGUGGUGAUUUUGAUUCCUUAUUCUCCUGUUUCCUAGUUACUAUUAUUAUCAUAGAAACCUAGGAGAUUUCUGGU
rnacentral:lncRNA from 1 species